rnacentral:rRNA from 1 species
CACGUAGGGUGCAAGCGUUGUCCGGAAUUAUUGGGCGUAAAGGGCUCGUAGGCGGUCCGUCACGUCGGGAGUGAAAACUCGGGGCUCAACCCCGAGCCUGCUUCCGAUACGGGCGGACUAGAGGUAGGUAGGGGAGAACGGAAUUCCUGGUGUAGCGGUGAAAUGCGCAGAUAUCAGGAAGAACACCCGUGGCGAAGGCGGCUCUCUGGGACGGUACUGACGCUGAGACGCGAAAGCGUGGGGAGCGAACAGG